GAUGAACGCUAGCGGCAGGCCUAAUACAUGCAAGUCGAACGAUAGUGAGAAGCUUGCUUCUCACGAAAGUGGCGCACGGGUGCGUAACGCGUAUGCAACCUACCUUAAUCAGGGGGAUAGCCCGAAGAAAUUCGGCUUAACACCGCAUAAAAUCACAGUAUAGCAUUAUACAAUGAUCAAAUAUUUAUAGGAUUAAGAUGGGCAUGCGUGACAUUAGUUAGUUGGCGGGGUAACGGCCCACCAAGACCACGAUGUCGAGGGGAUCUGAGAGGAUGACCCCCCACACUGGUACUGAGACACGGACCAGACUCCUACGGGAGGCAGCAGUAAGGAAUAUUGGUCAAUGGAGGCAACUCUGAACCAGCCAUGCCGCGUGCAGGAAGACAGCCCUCUGGGUCGUAAACUGCUUUUAUUCGGGAAUAAACCUAUCUACGUGUAGAUAGCUGAAUGUACCGAAGGAAUAAGGAUCGGCUAACUCCGUGCCAGCCGCCGCAGUAA
rnacentral:rRNA from 1 species